rnacentral:tRNA from 1 species
AUUUUUGUAGUUUAAUAAAAACAAUAUAUUUUCAAUAUAUAAAAAAGAAUUUAUUCUUCAAAAGAA